rnacentral:rRNA from 1 species
GUUGUCCACACCGUAAACGAUGGAUACUAGGUGUCGUUAAGUUGAUCUUCGGUGCCGUAGUAACGCAAAAGUAUCCCGCGUUUGAUACGGUAGCAAGGAUGAAGAUAAAAAAAAUUGACGGGUGUCUGAACAAGCUGUGGUGUAUGUGGUAUAAUUCGAUGCAACGCGAAGAACAUUACCUAGGCUUGACAUCCUGUAAAUCCCGCAGAGGUGCGUGAGUGCCUUCGGUGAAUCCAGAGACAGGUGCUGCAUGGCUGUCGUCAGCUCGUGCCGUGAGGUGUUGUGUUAAGUCCCGCAACGAGCGCAACCCCUAUUCUCAGUUGCCAGCACAUAAUGGUGGGCACUCUGUGGUGACUGCCCGGGUUAACCGGGAGGAAGGUGUGGAUGACGUCAAGUCAUCAUGGUCCUUACGCCUAGGGCUACACACGUACUACAAUGGUGGGUACAAAUUGCAGCGAAACCGCGAUGUCGAGCGAAUCUCAAAAAACCCAUCAUAGUCCUGAUUGCUGUCUGCGACUCGACUGCAUGAAGUUGGAAUCGCUAGUAAUCCCUGAUCUGCAUGCCGGGGUGAAUACGUUUCCGGGCCUUGUACACACCGCCCGUCACACCACGAAAGUCGGUUGUACCGGAAGUCGCCUGACUAAUCCUUGUGAUGUACGCGCUACGGUAGGGGUGGUAAUUGGGGUGAAGUCGUAACAAGUAACUGUAAGUU